GACGAACGCUGGCGGCGUGCCUAAUACAUGCAAGUCGAACGAACAGACGAGGAGCUUGCUCCUCUGACGUUAGCGGAGGACGGGUGAGUAACACGAGGAUCACCUACUUAUCUGACUGGGAUCAUUACGGGAAACCGGAGCUUAUACCGGAUAAUAUCUUGAACCGCAUGGUUCAUUAGAGAUAGUCGGUUUUGCUGUCACUUAUCGAUGGUUACACGCCGCAUUAGCUAGUUGGUCAGGUAACGGCUUACCAAGGCAACUCUGCGUAGCCGACGGGAGAGGAGGAUCGGCCACCCUAGAACUUAGACACGGUCCAGACUCCUACGGUAGGCAGCAGAAGGGAAUCGUCCGCAGUGGGGGAAAGCCUGACGGAACGGCGCCGCGUGAGAGAUGGAGGUCCUCGGAUCGUAAAACUCUGUUAUGGGUGAAAAACAAAUUUGUAAGUAGCUAUGCACGUCGUGACGGUACCUGAUCAGAAAGCCACGGCUAACUACGUG
rnacentral:rRNA from 1 species